rnacentral:rRNA from 1 species
GAUGAACGCUGGCGGCGUGCCUAAUACAUGCAAGUCGAGCGAACGGACGAGAAGCUUGCUUCUCUGAUGUUAGCGGCGGACGGGUGAGUAACACGUGGAUAACCUACCUAUAAGACUGGGAUAACUUCGGGAAACCGGAGCUAAUACCGGAUAAUAUUUUGAACCUCAUGUUUCAAAAGUGAAAUACGUUCUUUCUUUCACUUAUAGAUGGAUCCUCGCUGCAUUAGCUAGUUGGUAAGGUAACGGCUUACCAAGGCAACGAUGCAUAGCCGACCUGAGAGGGUGAUCGGCCACACUGGAACUGAGACACGGUCCAGACUCCUACGGGAGGCAGCAGUAGGGAAUCUUAAGCAAAGGGCGAAAGCCUGAAGGAGACAAGAAGAGUGAGUGAUGAAGGUCUUCGGAUCGUAAAACUCUGUUAUUAGGGAAGAACAUAUGUGUAAGUAACUGUGAAAAUCUUGAAGGUACCUAAUAAGAAAGCAAAGGAUAAAUAAGUG